rnacentral:rRNA from 1 species
UACGGAGGGGGCUAGCGUUGUUCGGAAUUACUGGGCGUAAAGCGCACGUAGGCGGCUUUGUAAGUUAGAGGUGAAAGCCCGGGGCUCAACUCCGGAAUUGCCUUUAAGACUGCAUCGCUAGAGUUGUGGAGAGGUAAGUGGAAUUCCGAGUGUAGAGGUGAAAUUCGUAGAUAUUCGGAAGAACACCAGUGGCGAAGGCGACUUACUGGACCGGCAUUGACGCUGAGGUGCGAAAGCGUGGGGAGCAAACAGG